rnacentral:lncRNA from 1 species
AAUCUAGCGGGAUGCAAAUAUUCUUUUCUCUUUUUUUCAAGUCUCUAAUUUUUGCUUGGAUUACCCUUGCGGGUUCUCCACCGAGACGCUCAUUUUUGCCUAAGCCGCCCUUUCGGGUUUUCAACUUAGCGAGCUAUUCUGUUUUUUCUUUUGCAUAUACUCUCUUUUUUUCUAGGCAAAGUAUCUCUUGACUGCAUCUGAAUUCACAGGACGAGUGAAAUCCUCCCCAUCCAUUGUUGUAAGCAUCAAUGCUCCGCCUGAAAAGGCUCUCUUAACAACACAUGGACCCUCGUAGUUUGGAGUCCACUUGCCCCUGGAAUCGGGCGCGAAAGACAAAACUUUCUUGAGCACGAGGUCACCCUCUCGGAACACACGCGGCUUGACCUUCUUAUCGAAUGCUUUCUUCAUU